CCUUCGAGUGGGGGAUAACGUCCCGAAAGGGACGCUAAUACCGCAUGACAUCCUCUUUUUGAACAGAGAGAGAUCAAAGCCGGGGAUCGCAAGACCCGGCGCUUGAUGAGGGGCUCGCGUCUGAUUAGCUAGUUGGUGGGGUAAUGGCUCACCAAGGCAACGAUCAGUAUCCGGCCUGAGAGGGCGGACGGACACACUGGGACUGAGACACGGCCCAGACUCCUACGGGAGGCAGCAGUGGGGAAUUGUUCACAAUGGGCGCAAGCCUGAUGACGCAACGCCGCGUGGAGGAUGAARGUCUUCGGAUUGUAAACUCCUGUUGCUCGGGAAGAAUAGCUCCGACCUAAUACGUCGGAGUCUGACGGUACCKGGUGAGGAANCCCCGGCUAACUCUGUGCCAGCAGCCGCGUAAUACAGAAGGGGC
rnacentral:rRNA from 1 species